rnacentral:rRNA from 1 species
GACGAACGCUGGCGGCGUGCUUAACACAUGCAAGUCGAACGGUAAGGCCCUUCGGGGUACACGAGUGGCGAACGGGUGAGUAACACGUGGGUGAUCUGCCCUGCACUUCGGGAUAAGCCUGGGAAGCUGGGUCUAAUACCGGAUAGGACCACUGCCUGCAUGGGUGGUGGUGGAAAGCUUUUGCGGUGUGGGAUGGGCCCGCGGCCUAUCAGCUUGUUGGUGGGGGGAUGGCCUACCAAGGAGACGACGGGUAGCCGGCCUGAGAGGGUGACCGGCCACACGGGGACUGAGAUACGGCCCAGACUCCUACGGGAGGCAGCAGUGGGGAAUAUUGCACAAUGGGAGCAAGCCUGAUGCAGCGACGCCGCGUGAGGGAUGACGGCCUUCGGGUUGUAAACCUCUUUCAGCAUCGACGAAGCGCAAGUGACGGUAGGUGCAGAAGAAGGACCGGCCAACUACGUGCCAGCCGCCGCGGUAA